rnacentral:lncRNA from 1 species
UUUUACGGUAAGAUAUCAUUUAACAUAGAUUGCAAUAAAAGUUUUCCAUGAUAAUAUUAUGUUGUUUGUAGAAACUACAUUGUUGACAAUAUUACAGAAGUCGUCAAUCACUUCCCCCUUUUGGUAUUGAAGCCGGGUUAUGCCCUUUCACCACAGCAUCGGAGCCGUUUGCUGGCUUAGGUGGUUUCUCCCAUUCAUUCACGGAGGUUGCUUUUGGUGGACAACCUGCGAGCUUGGACUUAGGUUCUUCUCCCGCUGCAUUCAUAAAGGUUUCUCCCGGUGGACAACCAGCUGGUUUAGCUGGAAGUUCCGCUUGAUUCAUGGCGGUUGCUGCUGGUGGGCAACCUGCUGACUUGUGCUUAGGUGAUUCCUCCUCAGCAUUCAUGCAGGUUGCUCCUGGUGGACAACCAGCUGGCUUAGCUGGUUGUACUGCUAGAUUCUUGGUGGUUGCCGCCGGUGGGCAACCUGCUGACUUGUGCUUAGGUGAUUCCUCCGCUGCAUUCAUGCAGGUUGCUCCUGGUGGACAACCAGCUGGCUUAACUGGUUGUUCUGCUAGAUUCGUGGUGGUUGCCGCCGGUGGGCAACCUGCUGACUUGUGCUUAGAUGAUUCCUCCGCUGCAUUCAUGCAGGUUGCUCCCGGUGGACAACCUGCGGGCUUAGCUGGUUGCUCCGCUCGAUUCAUGGCAGUUGCUGCCGGUGGACAACCUGCUUGCUUGGACUUAGGUUCUCCCUCUUGGUUCAUGGUGGUUUUCCUGGAUGCUUCCUCUGCUAAAUGAAUGGUUGUGGGCUUGUUCUUGAUUCUAGCAUAAAAA